rfam:Enterobacter cloacae S611 EDP2.NODE_1917, whole genome shotgun sequence.
CCGUUCUCAACGGGGUGCUGCGCUUCACGCGCGUGCUGAGAAAAUACCCGUCGAACCUGAUCCGGAUAACGCCGGCGAAGGGAUUUGAGGCUCUCUCAAAA